rnacentral:rRNA from 1 species
GAUGAACGCUGACAGAAUACUUAACACAUGCAAGUCAACUUGAAUUUGGGUUUUUAACUUAGAUUUGGGUGGCGGACGGGUGAGUAACGCGUAAAGAACUUGCCUCACAGCUAGGGACAACAUUUAGAAAUGAAUGCUAAUACCUGAUAUUAUGAUUUUAAGGCAUCUUAGAAUUAUGAAAGCUAUAAGCACUGUGAGAGAGCUUUGCGUCCCAUUAGCUAGUUGGAGAGGUAACAGCUCACCAAGGCGAUGAUGGGUAGCCGGCCUGAGAGGGUGAACGGCCACAAGGGGACUGAGACACGGCCCUUACUCCUACGGGAGGCAGCAGUGGGGAAUAUUGGACAAUGGACCGAGAGUCUGAUCCAGCAAUUCUGUGUGCACGAUGAAGUUUUUCGGAAUGUAAAGUGCUUUCAGUUGGGAAGAAAGAAAUGACGGUACCAACAGAAGAAGUGACGGCUAAAUACGUGCCAGCAGCCGCGGUAAUACGUAUGUCACGAGCGUUAUCCGGAUUUAUUGGGCGUAAAGCGCGUCUAGGUGGUUAUGUAAGUCUGAUGUGAAAAUGCAGGGCUCAACUCUGUAUUGCGUUGGAAACUGUGUAACUAGAGUACUGGAGAGGUAAGCGGAACUACAAGUGUAGAGGUGAAAUUCGUAGAUAUUUGUAGGAAUGCCGAUGGGGAAGCCAGCUUACUGGACAGAUACUGACGCUAAAGCGCGAAAGCGUGGGUAGCAAACAGG